rnacentral:rRNA from 1 species
CCGGUAAACGGCGGCCGUAACUAUAACGGUCCUAAGGUAGCGAAAUUCCUUGUCGGGUAAGUUCCGACCUGCACGAAUGGCGUAAUGAUGGCCAGGCUGUCUCCACCCGAGACUCAGUGAAAUUGAACUCGCUGUGAAGAUGCAGUGUACCCGCGGCAAGACGGAAAGACCCCGUGAACCUUUACUAUAGCUUGACACUGAACAUUGAGCCUUGAUGUGUAGGAUAGGUGGGAGGCUUAGAAGUGUGGACGCCAGUCUGCAUGGAGCCGACCUUGAAAUACCACCCUUUAAUGUUUGAUGUUCUAACGUUGACCCGUAAUCCGGGUUGCGGACAGUGUCUGGUGGGUAGUUUGACUGGGGCGGUCUCCUCCUAAAGAGUAACGGAGGAGCACGAAGGUUGGCUAAUCCUGGUCGGACAUCAGGAGGUUAGUGCAAUGGCAUAAGCCAGCUUGACUGCGAGCGUGACGGCGCGAGCAGGUGCGAAAGCAGGUCAUAGUGAUCCGGUGGUUCUGAAUGGAAGGGCCAUCGCUCAACGGAUAAAAGGUACUCCGGGGAUAACAGGCUGAUACCGCCCAAGAGUUCAUAUCGACGGCGGUGUUUGGCACCUCGAUGUCGGCUCAUCACAUCCUGGGGCUGAAGUAGGUCCCAAGGGUAUGGCUGUUCGCCAUUUAAAGUGGUACGCGAGCUGGGUUUAGAACGUCGUGAGACAGUUCGGUCCCUAUCUGCCGUGGGCGCUGGAGAACUGAGGGGGGCUGCUCCUAGUACGAGAGGACCGGAGUGGACGCAUCACUGGUGUUCGGGUUGUCAUGCCAAUGGCACUGCCCGGUAGCUAAAUGCGGAAGAGAUAAGUGCUGAAAGCAUCUAAGCACGAAACUUGCCCCGAGAUGAGUUCUCCCUGACCCUUUAAGGGUCCUGAAGGAACGUUGAAGACGACGACGUUGAUAGGCCGGGUGUGUAAGCGCAGCGAUGCGUUGAGCUAACCGGUACUAAUGAACCGUGAGG